GGAUAGCUCAGUAGGUAGAGCAUGAAACUCGUAAUCUCAAGGUCAUGGGUUCAAGCCCCAUGGUGGGCA